rnacentral:lncRNA from 1 species
UGAUUAUGUCAUGAUUUACCUGAAAUCAGUUUCUCAUAUCGGUUAAGUCAUGCUUCAAAUAUCCAAAAUGAAUGUGUUGCGCCAAAGCUUCCAGUAAAACAUAUUCACACACUAAUUCCCAACCUAUGCUAGAGUCUAGGAAAUGACAAUACAAUUUUCAUACUAACAUAAGAGGCUCUCCCUACAAUUUGGUAUUUUCAAUGUAAAUGUAACCUUUAUGGUGAAAGGCAAUCCAAUUGACAACUGAUG